ensembl:lncRNA
CUUGAUUGAUAGUCCGGUCUGGAAUGAUUGACAGGUCCUAUGGAGGAGGCAGCAGAGACUCUGCUCUCCUCGUUUGGAUUAAUUCUGAUAUAAUAACUGUUGGUUUAUUUAUCGGUGGAGCAGCACAACAUUUUCCACAGACAGUUUUCCUGCCCGUUGGCUUGUUUUAACCAGUUUUCUACCUUCGGCUGAUUCUACCAGCAGACACUGAAAGGACUCUAAUAGUUCGAGUGAAAGUAGCAAUUCCUCCUUAAGGUCAGAGAUUGCAGCAUCUGAGGGCCUCUUCAAAAGAAGACAUAGUUGAUGAAGGCGUUCUGGAGCAGGGCCAGAAAGACCACGACCAAGCAGCCUUGAGAUCUUAGGCAGCGUCUCCCUCGGUUUCAGCUCCAGAGACGGCAGGCGGGACGAGUCAACGGAGGCCGGGUGGACGAAGGCAUGCAGCUGAGUACAAUCCAGAAAACAACAGAGGAGGAGUACAGCGGCCCAGGGCCAGAACAAACAGAGUAGCAUGACCAAAGAACUACAGACUCUUCACAACCUGCUCAAACUCUUGGUACAGGACCUCACCACACAGGUUGCUUUGUAGAACUGUUCCAGAAAACCUCACUAAACCACAUGGAGGGGCCUCAAGAUAGUCGUCCAAAUGAAACUGUACAAAAACCAAACUAGCACAACCCAAACGCUAAAGUCUCCUGCAACCUACCAGAGAACCUCUGAGAACAGAGAAUCAGGACAGGAACUCUUACCUUCUGGACAACCAACGUUGGUUCUCAAACAAUACAGAAUGUGUCUGACCAAAAACCUCUAAAGACUCACUACAGCCAAGAUAAAGACACAACUCAGCUGCACCAAAUCCACUAAUCACUGCACACAUUAGCACCAUGUGCUAAGUGUGGCUAAAGAACCACAUUUACCAAGACAACUAUGCAGUACAAAGCCCUAAAACACACCAAGAAACACAUUAAAGAUGAUUUUACUGCUGGAAGCUGCAAGCCAACGCCUAAAGAACAAACUAAAGCAAAAGAGCCAAACCCGGUUCAGUGGUGAAGAGCAGAGGAAAUGUUUGUAGCUAAACAAAGCAGGAAGACACUGAGCUGCUCAGGUGUUCCUGAUAAUACCAAGCAGCCACCUGGACAGCCAAUAGGAACACAGCUUACUGGAAGUCCAGAGGGCUGGGUUAGUGAAGGAAAUUUAGUUUAAAGUUGAGGCAGAAAGUUAACAAAGAAAGUUGAAAACCACCUUCUGAUACCUGAAAUCUCUGAGUUUUCACACAAAGAACGCCUGAACAUGUCAAACUGGUUUCAUAGUAGAACCAUCAUUAUAAAAACAUCAUAGUAUGGUGUGUUGCUCAAAAAACAUUACGACCCAGCUGUCUAGGGUCGCCGAGGAGCAACACAAAAAGAGGGCAAACGCUGGUUUCCAGGGGGUUAGGUGGCUAUUUAUUUGAAAGAGUAAGUUUACAAUAACACAACAUGUGAACAAAAAAAUCAGUCUGUCUUUAGUUCAGCUGAAAAUAUUAGUUUUUGUCUUUUUUAUUGACCAAACUUUUCAGGAAGUAGUUGAAGAAUAAUUAAAGCUCUCAUGUAGAAGUCCAACUUAUUUUGGAUCCUUGUGGAGAGUUUAAUCUUAGAGUUUGUACAGCUGUUGAGUUUUUAGAGUCACAUGGAUUGUUUUGACAUUUAAUAAGGAAUAUUCCACCUAAAACCCCAAAUAUAGACCCGAAAGGGUGGUUUAGAAAAAAAUCCUUCAAUGUAGACCAAAAAAGUUAGUACGGAGGAAUAUUCUUCCUGUCAGGCUCGUGGUAGAACGGCUCUGAAGAAUCUUGUACUUGUCUUAUCUGGAACAAUCUAACAGCCUAAACUGUUAACAGCAGUGUAAAGAAGCAAACACACAGGCAUAGAUUAGGACUCAAACUAGAUUUAUUUUAGAAAACCAAUCAGCUUCGAGGCAUUUGUUCACACGUGGCUGAAUAGGAAGCCAUCCAAUCAGGUUAGAGGUCUUCACUCUGUAGGUUGGUUGUUCCGUGAGACUCUUGGACCUUCAUCAGCUGACGUGGAUGUUUGAUGGUCUUCCUCUCUAGUGCCAGAUGAAUCAUCCAUGAAUUCAGCAGCUACAGACUGAAAUGAAGCUCAUGCUGCUGUUAUUGAAUUCCUGUUCCAGAUCAAAUGUUCAGAGCUCACCUUGAAUGCAUGCCGUCUGCUGUCUGGAUAGUUUUUCUCAUUGUAGUCUUCAAUAAAGUCUUUUUCCUCAUGUCA